rnacentral:rRNA from 1 species
UACGGGGGGGGCAAGCGUUGUUCGGAAUUACUGGGCGUAAAGGGUCUGUAGGUGGCCAACUAAGUCAGACGUGAAAUCCCUCAGCUUAACUGGGGAACUGCGUCUGAUACUGGUUGGCUUGAGUGCAGGAGAGGAAUGCGGAAUUCCAGGUGUAGCGGUGAAAUUCGUAGAUAUCGGGAGGAACACCGGUGGCGAAGGCGGCGAUCUGGGUAGAUACUGACGCUGAGGUGCGAAAGCGUGGGGAGCAAACAGG